UCUGAGAGGAUGAUCAGCCACACUGGAACUGAGACACGGUCCAGACUCCUACGGGAGGCAGCAGUGGGGAAUAUUGCACAAUGGGCGCAAGCCUGAUGCAGCCAUGCCGCGUGUGUGAAGAAGGCCUUCGGGUUGUAAAGCACUUUCAGUCGUGAGGAAGGCGGCGUCGUUAAUAGCGGCGUUGUUUGACGUUAGCGACAGAAGAAGCACCGGCUAACUCCGUGCCAGCAGCCGCGGUAAUACGGAGGGUGCGAGCGUUAAUCGGAAUUACUGGGCGUAAAGCGCAUGCAGGUGGUUUGUUAAGUCAGAUGUGAAAGCCCGGGGCUCAACCUCGGAAUAGCAUUUGAAACUGGCAGACUAGAGUACUGUAGAGGGGGGUAGAAUUUCAGGUGUAGCGGUGAAAUGCGUAGAGAUCUGAAGGAAUACCGGUGGCGAAGGCGGCCCCCUGGACAGAUACUGACACUCAGAUGCGAAAGCGUG
rnacentral:rRNA from 2 species